GCGUCUGUAGCCUAGUUGAUUAAGGCAUCACUCUAGUAUGUGUCUCAGCAUUGGUGAGGUUGUGGGUUUGAGUCCCACCAGACACA
rfam:Puccinia sorghi strain RO10H11247 Scaffold_8965, whole genome shotgun sequence.